CGCGUAGCUCAGUUGGUUAGAGCGCUACGUUGACAUCGUAGAGGUCACAGGUUCGAAUCCUGUCGCGCC
rnacentral:tRNA from 1 species